rnacentral:rRNA from 15 species
CCGCGUGAGGGAUGACAGUCCUAUGGAUUGUAAACCUCUUUUUUCAGGGAGGAAGUUCUGACGUUACCUGAAGAAUAAGCAUCGGCUAACUCCGUGCCAGCAGCCGCGGUAAUACGGAGGAUGCAAGUGUUAUCCGGAAUCACUGGGCGUAAAGCGUCUGUAGGUGGUUUAAUGUGUCUGUUGUUAAAUCUUAAGGCUCAACCUUAAACCAGCAAUGGAAACUAUUAUGACUUGAGUGUGGUAGAGGUAGAGGGAAUUUCCAGUGGAGCGGUGAAAUGCGUAGAU